UACGUAGGGUGCGAGCGUUGCCCGGAUUUAUUGGGCGUAAAGGGCGCGUAGGCGGCUCGGCACGUCCGUUGUGAAAACUCGAGGCUCAACCUCGAGACGCCGAUGGAAACCAUCAGACUAGAGUCCGGAAGAGGAGAGUGGAAUUCCUGGUGUAGCGGUGAAAUGCGCAGAUAUCAGGAAGAACACCCGUGGCUAAGGCGGCUCUCUAGUACGGUACUGACGCUGAGACGCGAAAGCGUGGGGAGCGAACAGG
rnacentral:rRNA from 1 species